UGCUACAUCAAAUGGGUGCAUCUGAGAUAUGAUCACAUCCCCAGUGCCCCAAGAGCCAGCUUUUUCUUUGGUCAUCUUCCAAUCUUUUGGAAAAUGCGUAAGAGCAAAGAACUUAUUCAUGAUCUCUUUCUGCAAUGGGCUGAGAAAUACGGGCCGUCUUGCGUUUCAAUGCCUUUCCACAGAUCACCU